AUGUCCUCGAAUGACUUGACCCCGUUUGGUUCUCGGUGGGAAAGGGUGAAUCUUUAUAAGCAACACCAACAGCGACAAAUGGAGGCAACAAAUAACCUCCGACGCCCUCUUGCUGAUAUCACCAAUGUUGAUAUACUCCUGAGCGAGGGUCCAGCCAUGGGAUGUGCCCCACAACCAUCGAGCAUCCUGUUUAUUCGUGAAGCAACAAUACCAUCACCCUCAACCAUUGAACUCCCCAAAGGGAGUCCAGGUAUAACUCAUCAGCAAGGUUUAAAUGCCUCUAAUAUUGGUUUUUACUAA
rnacentral:rRNA from 1 species